rnacentral:rRNA from 1 species
AGAGUUUGAUCCUGGCUCAGGAUGAACGCUAGCUACAGGCUUAACACAUGCAAGUCGAGGGGCAGCAUGGUCUUAGCUUGCUAAGGCCGAUGGCGACCGGCGCACGGGUGAGUAACACGUAUCCAACCUGCCGUCUACUCUUGGACAGCCUUCUGAAAGGAAGAUUAAUACAAGAUGGCAUCAUGAGUCCGCAUGUUCACAUGAUUAAAGGUAUUCCGGUAGACGAUGGGGAUGCGUUCCAUUAGAUAGUAGGCGGGGUAACGGCCCACCUAGUCUUCGAUGGAUAGGGGUUCUGAGAGGAAGGUCCCCCACAUUGGAACUGAGACACGGUCCAAACUCCUACGGGAGGCAGCAGUGAGGAAUAUUGGUCAAUGGGCGAGAGCCUGAACCAGCCAAGUAGCGUGAAGGAUGACUGCCCUAUGGGUUGUAAACUUCUUUUAUAAAGGAAUAAAGUCGGGUAUGCAUACCCGUUUGCAUGUACUUUAUGAAUAAGGAUCGGCUAACUCCGUGCCAGCAGCCGCGGUAAUACGGAGGAUCCGAGCGUUAUCCGGAUUUAUUGGGUUUAAAGGGAGCGUAGAUGGAUGUUUAAGUCAGUUGUGAAAGUUUGCGGCUCAACCGUAAAAUUGCAGUUGAUACUGGAUAUCUUGAGUGCAGUUGAGGCAGGCGGAAUUCGUGGUGUAGUGGUGAAAUGCUUAGAUAUCACGAAGAACUCCGAUUGCGAAGGCAGCCUGCUAAGCUGCAACUGACAUUGAGGCUCGAAAGUGUGGGUAUCAAACAGGAUUAGAUACCCUGGUAGUCCACACGGUAAACGAUGAAUACUCGCUGUUUGCGAUAUACAGCAAGCGGCCAAGCGAAAGCGUUAAGUAUUCCACCUGGGGAGUACGCCGGCAACGGUGAAACUCAAAGGAAUUGACGGGGGCCCGCACAAGCGGAGGAACAUGUGGUUUAAUUCGAUGAUACGCGAGGAACCUUACCCGGGCUUAAAUUGCAGAUGAAUUACGGUGAAAGCCGUAAGCCGCAAGGCAUCUGUGAAGGUGCUGCAUGGUUGUCGUCAGCUCGUGCCGUGAGGUGUCGGCUUAAGUGCCAUAACGAGCGCAACCCUUGUUGUCAGUUACUAACAGGUUCUGCUGAGGACUCUGACAAGACUGCCAUCGUAAGAUGUGAGGAAGGUGGGGAUGACGUCAAAUCAGCACGGCCCUUACGUCCGGGGCUACACACGUGUUACAAUGGGGGGUACAGAGGGCCGCUACCACGCGAGUGGAUGCCAAUCCCCAAAACCUCUCUCAGUUCGGACUGGAGUCUGCAACCCGACUCCACGAAGCUGGAUUCGCUAGUAAUCGCGCAUCAGCCACGGCGCGGUGAAUACGUUCCCGGGCCUUGUACACACCGCCCGUCAAGCCAUGGGAGCCGGGGGUACCUGAAGUGCGUAACCGCGAGGAGCGCCCUAGGGUAAAACUGGUGACUGGGGCUAAGUCGUAACAAGGUA